rnacentral:rRNA from 1 species
GGUAACAUAGAAAGCUUGCUUUUCUGAUGACGAGUGGCGCACGGGUGCGUAACGCGUAUGCAAUCUACCUUUUACAGGGGGAUAGUCCAGAGAAAUUUGGAUUAAUAUCCCAUAGUAUCAAGAGUCGGCAUCGGCAUUUGAUUAAAGAUUUAUCGGUAAAAGAUGAGCAUGCGUCCUAUUAGCUAGAUGGUGUGGUAACGGCACACCAUGGCAACGAUAGGUAGGGGCCCUGAGAGGGGGAUCCCCCACACUGGUACUGAGACACGGACCAGACUCCUACGGGAGGCAGCAGUGAGGAAUAUUGGACAAUGGGCGCAAGCCUGAUCCAGCCAUGCCGCGUGCAGGAAGACUGCCCUAUGGGUUGUAAACUGCUUUUAUACGGGAAGAAACACUCCCUCGUGAGGGAGCUUGACGGUACCGUAAGAAUAAGGAUCGGCUAACUCCGUGCCAGCAGCCGCGGUAAUACGGAGGAUCCAAGCGUUAUCCGGAAUCAUUGGGUUUAAAGGGUCCGUAGGUGGAUAAUUAAGUCAGAGGUGAAAUCCUGCAGCUCAACUGUAGAG